rnacentral:rRNA from 1 species
CUACGGGAUGCUCCAGUAAGGAAUAUUGGGCAAUGGACGCAAGUCUGACCCAGCCAUGCCGCGUGCAGGAUGACAGCCCUACGGGUUGUAAACUGCUUUUAUACGGGAAAAAUUCCCCGGUCGUGAAUCGGGGUUGAUGGUACCGUAAGAAUAAGCAUCGGCUAACUCCCUGCCAGCAGCCGCGGUAAUACGGAGGAUGCAGGCGUUAUCCGGAUUCAUUGGGUUUAAAGGGUGCGUAGGCGGAAUGAUAAGUCAGCGGUGAAAUCCUACAGCUUAACUGUAGAACUGCCAUUGAUACUGUUGUUCUUGAGUACAGUUGAAGUGGGCGGAAUGUGUCAUGUAGCGGUGAAAUGCAUAGAGAUGACACAGAACACCGAUCGCGAAGGCAGCUCACUAAACUGUAACUGACGCUGAGGCACGAAAGCGUGGGGAUCAAACAGGAUUAGAUACCCUAGUAGUC